rnacentral:rRNA from 1 species
AACCAGCACCUCAAGUGGUCAGGAUGAUUAUUGGGCCUAAAGCAUCCGUAGCUGGCUCUGUAAGUUUUCGGUCAAAUCCGUAUGCUCAACGCACAGGCUGCCGGGAAUACUGCAGUGCUAGGGAGUGGGAGAGGUAGACGGUACUUGGUAGGAAGGGGUAAAAUCCUUUGAUCUAUCGAUGACCACCUGUGGCGAAGGCGGUCUACCAGAACACGUUCGACGGUGAGGGAUGAAAGCUGGGGGAGCAAACCGG